CCCACAAAUACUCAGCGAAGAGAAAUGGAAGGAGAGUAAACUGGGGGGUGGUGAGUGCGGAAUAGAGUCCACAGGUAAGGAAAUGUAACAUUGUACACCUGAAGCUGAUGCUAUUAACCACUGGUACCUCAAUACAUUUAAUAGCUUUAAAAAUAUUCAGUGAGGGACAGGCCCACAGCAGGCACAGCACAAGUUUACAUUCUAAGGGAGGGGAGGGGGCCCGUCACCCAGCAUGAAAAUAAGGUGAAUCUCAGAGAACAGAAAGUACUACAGAGCCAAGAAGGUGAUGUUGAAUGAUGGGUGGACUAGUUUAAGUAGAGAGCUGGGGACAGGUUUCAGCGAAGCAGGACACGGCUCUACAGUUUACAAGUCUUUCACGUCCCAUCCCAGUAUUUGAGGAGCACGUAGGAAGGGGCAGACAGGAGGUGCAAAGUAAGGUUUAUUUGGCCCUAGUCUGGGGAUUCAUGCCUCAUGACAGUAGCGUUGGCCUGGCCUGGCCUGGCCCCUGCAGGAAGGCACCCUGCUGCAUGGGUACCACCUACCUCCUGUGUCUGGCUCUCUUGGUUUUGUGUACAGACUAAAAGGGCUAUGUGAUUUGCUGGGCCCAGUGAGAAAUGAAUAUGUGUGUGGGGGUGUCCCCUUGUUCAGAGUGACUAGGAAUUUUAAGAUGGCAACCACAGGGCAUUAUACCAAGUGUGGGGCCCUUCUAAGUUCGGGGACCUAUGUCCCUACACAGGUUGCAUGCCCGUGGAUCUGGCUUGUGCAACAGAAUUCAGAAAUAGUGUGCAAGCCCCUGCCCCCACUGGCUGCUAUGAGAAGCAUCCCUCACGCCUUCUCCAGGCCUCCCUCCCCUCUUUUCCAGCUUAAAGCCCAGCACAGGUGAUGGAAACAGCGCACAGAGGCUAAAAAUACAGCCGAGCCAGUCUAGGUCAGGGCACUUAAUGGCUCAAGGUCUUUUGCUCAGCUAUGCGGUCCUGGCCCCUGGCAAGGAGCAGUCUCAGAGAUUCAUUUCAGUGCUUCACAUGCCUUGGUCGGUGAGCAGCUUUAUUUCAUGGAAAGAGUGAGGACACGGGCUGUAGCCCCUGGGCCUUCAGGAAGGUGGUGGUGGUGGUCUGUUUGCCUCCUGUGUUCUGCAGUUGGACCCUUGGAUUCCUCCGUGGGCGGCUGGAUUUGCCAAGAAGCUGGGAGAGCUCUGGUCGGUGGCUCGGUUGGUUGGAACGUCAUCCCACACAUCAAAAGGGUUCUGGCGACAUGUGUUUACUGAGUGAUCCAUGGCCAAGAUGAGGGUGAGAGGUGAGUGAGGCGUUCAGCUGAGGCACAAAAUUUCAGAAAGCCCCCCAACAUUCAAUAAUUAAGAUAAAGAACUCAGUAUCCUAUAAUGGGUUAAAAUAUGUUGAAUCUACUUCAUAAACAGUUUUAAUUUAAUAUAUUUAAAAAUCUAAAUGAAUGACAAAAAAAUUCAAGAUGAACGAAAUAUUAAAUUUUUAAGUAAAAGCAGGAUAUAGAUUUCUGAUUUUCCUUUAGGCCCAGGCUCAGCUCAGUACAGUACUGUUACUGAUCCUGUCUCCCAGCUUUCUGGGCCAGGCAACUAGUGAUGGAAAAUUCAAGAGAAGUAGUAGUUUGCUGUUCUGAUGGGCGUGAAGGGAGAGAGAAUUUGGUUUGAACAUAAUGAGUUAGAGGUGUCUGCGGGACAUCCAGGUGACCGUGAGUCAGGUGAGAAGGGGUAGCAGGGCGGGCAGGGUGCCCUGAUUUCGUAUGCUUGGCCCAUGAUGGGUGCGUACUCAGCACAUGUGGUCUAAAUCACUGGUCCUCAGAGUUUGCAUCAUGGUUCAGGAAUCUUUGCAAAUUCUCUCAUCCAAAAUUUUUCUCUUUUUUCCCAAACCUUCUACAUCACAAACCUCAGAUAUGUUCCCAUUUGGGUGUGGAAGUUUACUGCUUGGGUGUUAAAAUCAAAACAUCUUCUGAGAAGAUUAAAAAACAACUCAAUUCCACUAGAAUUUGGGAGUUGGGCAAGAAGGGGAAAGACAAGAAUUAAUCUAAAUUGGCUCCAUUUCUUCUUUAUUAAUGGAUCCUCCAGCAAAAGAAGAGGAGCUAAGAGAAAUUAAAGAGGAGAAAGGUUGUAGGAAAGGAAAAAAAGAAAGACGAAACAUUAUAGGAGCUAAAAAUACAGUGAGGAGAGCUUGGCUACGCAUCAAAGAAGGGCAGAUGUGUUUCCAAAUAGAAGCGGUGGUUUAGAGAUGUCAGGAAGCACAGCUCCAAAUGAUGGGUGGAAAAUAAAAGUUAUUUAGACUGAGCUCAGCAGAAUAAAAAAGGUUCAAUGGUGACUCAAACUGAGGAACAGGCCGCUGAGCAAUAUGGAAGCCCUAGUGCCUCAACCCCAGGUUCGAGAAUCAAGUGUUGGCACCAACAGUGGAAACUCUUGCCAUGGUGUCAGGACCCUGAACCGAAGAGUCUUUCCAUCUUGACUUUGUAAUUCUGAACAACCUUUGAUGGAACAAUCGCUAUUACAGACUAGUCACUUUUCUUCGCGUAUCCUCGGGUACCCGCAUCCCUUUCCGUCGAAUGAAGCAUGAAUCAUUCCCACAACCAGGGAGACAUGUACCUUCUGUAAAUAUCCCACUUCUGUGAGGUCGAUGAGUCUGACCAAUGCUUAGUGAAGAUGGAUCAUAGGAAGAGAAAUGUGGCGAGACGCAAGCCAGAUCAGAAUCCUUCCACUUCCAGAGGCCCAUUGCUUGUCCUCAUAGACCAGAUGGAUGCCCAGGAAGGACCUGAGAUGAAGUCCAUAUCAAAUACUGGGUUAUGUCACUCAGACCCUGGGCAUCAGGGGCUCAAGAAAGAGUCAGACGGGGGAAUGGGCCACAAUAUUAAUACUGUUAAUAAGAACAUGACUUGUUGAGUGCUUGUUAUGCACCAAGAGCCAUACCAAGGGCUUCACAUGCAUAGUCCCAUUUCAUCUUCCCAGUGGUCCUAGAGGAGGCACGAUUUGCUACCCCAUUUCACAGAUGAGGCAAAUAAGGUUCAGAGAUGUGAAUUCACUUGCCCAUAGAGAGAUGGAUCUGGGAUGUCACCUCCGACAGACCAACUCCUGAGCGCAGAGGAAGCCUCCUGACAAGGCCAGGUAGGACUAGAACUGGGCGCAGGUGUAGUACGUGGAUGGGCCGACCAGUCAUAGCUGGCAAAGAGCAAGGGUGGAGUGGUGUACAGCUUGGUUGCGUCCAGCUGUUGUUGUUGGUUACCAGCUGUGGGGCAUGGUUCUUGAGCAGUGUGUGCCUAAGUUUCCUCAACUGUCAAGUAGGGAUGGCAACAGUGUCCAAAUUCAUAAGACCAUUGGUGUCAUUUCAGGGGAUGACGCUUGUAAAGUGUCUAAAACAGUGCUUGGCCUGCAGUAGGCCUUCAAUAAAUACAGAUUUUACUGACGUAGGAGAAACAGCACAGGCCAAAUGACGCUGGGUUAGUUCCAAGGAACGUCAGGGUUUCUUGUUGGGGUUCAGUCUAUGGAAGGGAGAGAAGGCAGAAUUUACUGGAAUUUGAAGAGUCUCAGCCGCCGUCCAUGUGGCCAGAAGCAGGAGCUAUAGAGCGCCCCUCGGAGCCAGAGCAAUGCCACUUGGUCACUGAGGGCAAGACCUAGGAAAGUAAGUACAACAGAUGAAUGGGAAGGCCACCUCAAGGCUGGGAAGAAGAGAAACAGAAGAGCUACUCCCAGGAUGCCUUUCUGGCCCGACUUUCCCCUUCUGUCCCCUCCGCCUUGCAGAGCAAAGGGAGACAGUAGCCCAAGAGCCUGGUGCCGCCUCUCUGGGAUUCGGAUGCUUGCCUGCCCCGUCUCCAGACAUUCGCAAACCCUUCCCGAAGACAAACCCUUUCCAACGCCCUGCUCUAAAACUGACCCACCUCUCUGGAGGUGAGGCCAGGGCUCGCGGCUGAAUGGGCCCCAUUGUCCUCCCGAGCGUCUGUGGGUCCACCUGGAGGCGGUUCUGCCACGGCCUGCGGUGCGGUCUGCCUGCAGACUUUGAUUCACUCCAGGGACAACACUCGAAAAAGAAAAAAAAAAAAAAAAAAAGAAAAAAAAAUCAAACGGGCAACACAUGCGAUUCCAGGAACGCCGGCCAGACUCACACUCUGUUUUUCCAUCAUUCCGCUCUCCUGCCCCCGGGGGGAGGGCGCCUCCUUGGGCAUUUUGUGUAUGAAAAAAAAAAAAAAAUCAAAACCACCAUCAG